AACGAACGCUGGCGGCAGGCUUAACACAUGCAAGUCGAGCGCCCCGCAAGGGGAGCGGCAGACGGGUGAGUAACGCGUGGGAACGUACCUUUUGGUUCGGAACAACUCCGGGAAACUGGAGCUAAUACCGGAUAAGCCCUAACGGGGAAAGAUUUAUCGCCGAAAGAUCGGCCCGCGUCUGAUUAGCUAGUUGGUGAGGUAACGGCUCACCAAGGCGACGAUCAGUAGCUGUUCUGAGAGGAUGAUCAGCCACACUGGGACUGAGACACGGCCCAGACUCCUACGGGAAGCAGCAGUGGGGAAUAUUGGACAAUGGGCGCAAGACUGAUCCAGCCAUGCCGCGUGAGUGAUGAAGGCCUUAGGGUUGUAAAGCUCUUUUGUCCGGGAAGAUAAUGACUGUACCGGAAGAAUAAGCCCCGGCUAACUUCGUG
rnacentral:rRNA from 1 species